AUGUCCUUGUGAUUUAUUUACAUUUUAGAGUUAGAAAUGAAAUGACUGAUAUAGAAGCCUGUAUGACCAGACCUAAGAUGGGAUUGAUGUGAAUAUAUUACAUGGGGAGAAAACUAGCCAAAAAUGUGUGAUAGUAAAAAUGGCUCCUUAAAAAUGGGACAGGAGCAGAUCUUCAAAACUGCAAGAGAAAAUUAAGGGAGUGAUUUAAACACUGGCUAUUUAAGAGGGUACACAAUAAAUGCACUCUGUUGCUGGAAAGUCCUAUAGGGUGCUUGACUGGAUUUUUUUCAUAUAUUGAAGUUUUACUUUGGGUUUUGCCCAUUAUGCCUAAUGAAUAAAAUAAUUUCUUGGACUUUUCUUUUUGUCUCUUUCUUUAUCAAAUGUUUCACGACAUUAACAGCCAGACUUACCUAAUCUUGGGAUGACAUUGCUGCCUUGAUACAGUUACGUAGCUUGAGCAUCAGUGUCCUAGGGAACGCACAGAAUUUUAGUUACUUGUUAUAUUUGUGGGGAAAGAAUUGCUGCUGCAUAUGUUUCCUGGAUUGAUUGAAUUGGCUGGCUCUUUACUUAAAUACAGCAUCUGCAAUACAAGACACAAAGCUACAAGUGGUGCUAAACUUGUAUAUGUGGAUGCACCCUUUGUAGUUUUUGUUUAGUUAAGCUAAUUGUACACACAGGAGGCUCUUUUCAUCCCUCUUCUACCUGUCAGGCUCUUCGUGUGCCAUCCUCCUCUACUUCAGGGGUUCCUUAUAAACUCAUUUGGUCUCUUCACUCAUGCAAGGGACUGCGUAUGUUCCCCAUCUUCACUAUAGCUUUUAUAUGUGGCAUUAUUCCCCCCACCCUUUCCCCAUAACUGGGGACUCUGUAGUCAUCCUUUAUCCCUGCACUAGGGUCCCUGUAUAUCCACCCAUCAACCCUUGUCUGGUGGCAGGGAUCCUGCUUUCUCCACGAGCCAGAGCUCUGUGUGUAUGAAGAAAGAAGUCUUUCAGGUUGUCCACCUUUUAAACAGUAUGGGGGAUCUUGGGCAGAAAUGAGAUGGGGCUGGAAAAUGAAAAUGGUUGCCAUCAACUGGUUCUUGCAUGUAGAAACAAGUAUUUGGAUUUGGUGGUCCUGGGACAUCUGCUCGUUAGGUGCUCUGUGAGUGUUUUGUAUUUUUAUUACGAAUGUUCUCUGUGCUAGAAGUCAUGUAGUGAAAAUGCAGCCAAACUUGGCAAACCUGAGGUCUUUGAGGUUUGGGGAGAAACGAAUCAAGGGGUUCUCUACUAAAACCAGCUCUAGGUCCAUAAUUUAUUUUAAACCCCUGCCUCCUAAAGUCAGUACUGCAUUGUAACAUGCAGCAUCACCAAAGCACAGAACAAGCCUGAGGUCCUGAGACAUGUUUCAGAUUCUUGCAUUGAAAUUCUGCUCCAGUUGCAUAUAUUUACUUUUGAUUUAAAUACAGUAUUGCCAGUUGUAUUGUUGCCUGAUGCCUUUGUUUCUGCUCAGAUUGUUAACUUUUAUAUUUACAGAAUAAAAAGCUCACCCUUCAGUGGAAAAAAACUG